GGGGACAUACGGAGGCCUCGACGUUAGGAUCUCAACAAUGCCGUUAGUCUCGUGGUGAUGCUUCGACCAUCGAGAAGGGUGGCCUCGAUGUCUAGAGGACUUUAGGCCUCUAAUCCGACGGCCUCGGAGGCCUCAGAAUCAUCGAUUUGGCAGGGCGUGUGCAAAGGGCUGUCGAUCCUAACUUCGAUGCCGACGGAAGUGCACGAGGAAGAUCUCGUGAGGCCUCAGGCUAGCCAACCUUGGCAUUAGGAUCUUAACAACGCCGUUAGUCUCGUGGUGAUGUUUUGGCCAUCGGGAAGGGUGGCCUCGAUGUCUAGAGGGCCUUGGGCCGCUAAUCCGAUGGGCCCGGAGGCCUCAGAAUCGUCGAUUUGGCAGGGCGUGUGCAAAGGGCCACCGAUCCUAGCUUCCAUGCCGGCGGAAGUGCAUGAGGGAGAUCCCGUGAGGCCCCGGGCUAGCCAAUCUUGGGUUUGACACCGGUAGUCAAGCGAGUGAGCACGGAAGGGGACCGGGACCGCCCAUCCUUGCUCCGGCGAUGGUUGCCGUGCGCGUAAGCUUAGGGGAGGCCCGAGGUCGCAGACGCUGGUCCCGCAGUGGUUGGUACCGCGUGGGGAAGCUUGAGGAAGGUUUCAGAGCCUUCGUUACCAGAUUCGACCACACAUGGAGGUGUCGACCGAAGGGGGUUCGGCCGGAAAGGCUCUCACGAAAGGGGUUCGGUCGAAGUGAGACGCAUGGAGAUGCAGGCCGAAAGGGGGUUCGGUCAAAGGUCUCUGGAGAGAGGAGGGA
rnacentral:lncRNA from 1 species